CAAACCCUAGAUGGUCAUCUGUUCACUUUACAAUUACAGCCGCUCCAUCCAUUGCUCUCGUUUCACAGUUUCAUUUCACUUUAAUGGUAACCUGAAGAUCGCUUUACAAUUGUAGAUCACACAAGCUAAAGGUGUUUUCUACCGUCGAUUAUCCUCUCUUCGUCGCAUGUCGCAUAUACGGUACAAUUUAUAACAGAAGCUCUUCUCAACUGGUCCAAGUUUGUAGGACCUGGUGUGGAGAUCAUGGGCUCUAAAAAGCAGGAUAUAACCUCUAGAGAAGUGGAGAUAAUGGGCACAAAAUGUGGAGCAAACCACCUGGUUACAAAACUGCAAAUAACUGCUAUGAAACUGCAAAUAACUGCUAUGAACUGCCACUUCAGUGGUUUUUUUAGGGAGUUUAAAGGGCUGAGAUUUAAUCUCAGCAAGAUCCAAUGGUCAAUAUUGAUUUCAAAGUGCAUUAUAUAGCAAUAGAUCAUCUCAAUUGACUCAGAUUUGUAGGAAGAUUUGUGUGAGUUGGUUCGGAGAUAAUGGGUCUUAAAAUAAGGAGAAAACCUGCUUAGAAGUGGUGAUCAUGGGCAGAAAAUUUUGGAGCAAAACCACCUGCAGGAAAACUGCCAAAAACCGCACUGAACCAUCAUUAGAGAGGUUAUGGUGCAAGUCAGAUGUGUAAGGACUGGAAAACGGGGUGUGGGUCUCAACACUCUCAUCAGUCGCAAUAUUCUGACCUAUCAUGAAAUGAGACGAAACAAUCAAGUUAAAAUAUAAAAGUAUUAAAACAAUUGAUUAGUUAAAAUACAUUGGAAUUUAGAUAUGUUGCUUUCAUUUUUAUCUGCUCCAUUAUACUACUUAAACUUCAAUUUGUACGGACUGGUUUUUCCGUUCUUAACAUUGUCUUCGGGUAUUUGCACUUUGCAAGCCAUAAUUCAUUUUAACAAAAACACCACAAAUAAUAUGGAAAGUACAAAAACAGUGUAACCUUAACUUGCGGGUGAUUUAUUUCAUCAAGGUUGUUCCAUCAUAGCUACCACCUACACAAAGAAAGAAACUGAUUAGAGAACUACUGAUGUGUUUUAUUGUAGAGUAGGUUUCUGUAAUUUGCAAAACAUAACGCAUGUUAACGAAACAAAACCAAUAUUAACGGAAGUAUGAACAAUUUAACCUUCAUUUGCAGGUCAUGUGUUCCAGCAUUGGGUGUCUUGUCAAGUGCAGUUCUUGAGUACUGAUCUUCUGCUCCAUGUUGAGUAUGCUAGACAAAUAAAUCCAUAGCAUUGGUAUUAUAUAGGAACAUCAAUAACUGCAAGUACCGCUAUAUAACCUCUAGAGAAGUGGAGAUCAUGGGCACAAAAUGUGGAGCAAACCACCUGGUUACAAAACUGCAAAUAACUGCCAUGAACUGUCACUUCAGUCGUUUUUUUAGGGAGUUUAAAGGGCUGAGAUUUACUCUCAGCAAGAUCCAAUGGUCAAUAUUGAUUUCAAAGUUGGUUACACUUAAUGGGUUUAAUAUAUAUA